GCAAGAUAGAGUUUGAUCCUGGCUCAGGAUGAACGCUAGCGGUGUGCCUAAUGCAUGCAAGUCGAACGGGAUCCUUUGGAUUCGUCUGAAGGUGAGAGUGGCGAACGGGUGAGUAACACGUUGGUGACCUGCCCCAGAGAGGGGAAUAACUAUUGGAAACGAUAGCUAAUACCCCGGAUGUUAUUGAGUUUAGAAAUCAAUGACUAAAGCUCCGGCGCUCUGGGAGGGGCCUGCGUCCCAUCAGCUAGUUGGUAAGGUAAUGGCUUACCAAGGCAAAGACGGGUAGGGGGCGUGAGAGCGUGACCCCCCACACUGGUACUGAAACACGGACCAGAUACCUACGGGUAGCAGCAGCAAGGAAUAUUGCGCAAUGGGCGAAAGCCUGACGCAGCAACACCGCGUGGAGGAUGAAGGCCUUCGGGUUGUAAACUCCUUUUCUAAGGGAAGAAAAAGGACGGUACCUUAGGAAUAAGGCCCGGCUAACUACGUGCCAGCAGCCGCGGUAAAACGUAGGGGUCGAGCGUUAUCCGGAUUUACUGGGCGUAAAGAGCAUGUAGGCGGCGAUUUAAGUCGGACGUGAAAGCUCCUGGCUCAACUGGGAGAGGUCGUUCGAAACUAGAUUGCUCGAGGAUGGUAGAGGUAAGUGGAAUUCUAGGUGUAGUGGUGAAAUGCGUAGAUAUCUAGAGGAACACCAGUGGCGAAGGCGGCUUACUGGGCCAUUCCUGACGCUGAGAUGCGAAAGCUAGGGGAGAGAACGGGAUUAGAAACCCCGGUAUUCCUAGCCGUAAACGAUGUCAACUAGGUGUAGGAGGUAUUGACCCCUUCUGUGCUGUAGCUAACGCGUUAAGUUGACCGCCUGGGGACUA
rnacentral:rRNA from 1 species